CCCGCCGGAGCGGGAAGCGGUGUUCCCCGAUGGCCGCUCUCGGGCUCCCAGCUCUGCGGAGGCGAGCGAGGUGGGCGCGGGCCCCAGAAGGCGGGGCGCCAGCUCGGAGGGACCCUCACGCCGCGGAGCUGGGGGGCUUCCCGGAGCGGCCACCCUGAAGCCGUGGCGCCGGGGCCUCUGUCCCCGAGUGAUGCCUCGGGAUGAGCCCCUCGGAGACCCGGAGCCGUGGGCUUGUGCCCUUGGGAUGACUUCUCGAGGCCUUCGCGGUGAAGUUCAGGGCCCGAUCCCGCCUACGUGAGACCACGACCUCCUUGUCCACUUAAAACAGGCUGGUAACGGGAACAGAAGCAGGGUGUACCUUCCUGAAAGAAGAUCUACGUGGGGGACCAGACUGUUACACUAGGGUGUGUUGUAUGGAAGACAACUAGCAUGAAAUCAACAAGAAGAAUGCUAGCCAAGUUUAAUGGCAUCAGGUGUCUUCGCUCCACAGAUAAACCUAUCAGAACGGCUAGAUAUUUAUUUCCAUGGGUAAAAGGCACUCUCUCCCAUGGUGCUAGAGGCAAGAUAAAAAUUUGUCUUUUUGAAUAUCCCUUUCAGAGACUCUCUUCCCAUAUUCUUUAUCAAGCUAGAGUACAAAGCAAUUAACUUGGUUUAAGCUCUUCUGUUAACAGCUUCUCUCCAGCUGUCCCUCCUUGAAGUUGCACCCUGAUCACCGAGUUAGGAUUUGAGGUCCUUUCAAAUAGCCUCUUUGUCCUUUCUCUUGAUGAUUGAGAUUUCAUUCUAUAUAUUUGAUCUCUUUCUAAAGUUUAAGUAUUGGGACACCUGGGUGGCUCAGUGGUUCAGCAUUUGCCUUUGUCACAGGUCGUGACGCAGGGUUCUGGGAUCAAGUUCCGCAUCGGGCUCCACGCAGGGAGCUUGCUUCUCCCUCUGCCUGUGUCUCUGCCUCUCUGUGUCUCUCAUGAAUAAAUAAAUAAAUUCUUUUUUUUAAAAAAGGCUCCCUUUGAAGUUUAAGUGUCUAUUGGCCCUGUUGUUGGUUCGAAGCCUUGGGAGCUUCCUGGGUGAAAUCUGAAACUGUUCUCCAUACACAGCGCAAGGAGGGACCAAAGGCAAAGCGCAGAUUGCCAGGUAAUAAGCAAGGCUUGUCAUGGGUGGUGGUAAGAUGAGUAAAUUGCAUCCACCCACCAGAGUCUUAAAAACUAUUCAGAAGCCUUAAUGGGGAUGAUCGGUCAUGUGUACUGUCCAGAUGAUCUUAACACACAUUGCUGUCUCAAGGUUACAUCCUUGAAAAUGGCUCCCACCAUGGGAACAGAAGGCAGAAUGUAUACUCUAAGGGUGAGGGACCCAAUUGCGCAGGUCCAGCCUGAGGGUCAACUGGUAAUCAGUGUCCUCUUGAUGAUUUCCUCCAACACCCAUUUAACCCAUCCAAGAACCAAAACCUGUGUUUAUCUAUUUACUCAACUUUCCUUUAUGACACUACUUGAUGUUAAGACUAACUGCAUAUACUUUUCUAAUCAGAUAAGACCCUUCAACUCCAUUAGGUACAGAGUCAAAAUUCCAUUUGCCCAUUGUUGCAAUAUAGCUAUAAUUAUUUAGAUAGCUCUUAGGUAUUUUCUCCCAUUUCUAAUGAUAAAUUCCAGUAGUGACUGGCUUUCUGUAUAUUUUAUAUGUGCUUCAAACAACAGCUGUCAUUUAUCUACAUUGGUCAUAACAUACUUGAAGAGUGGCCCUAAAGAGCAUCUCCAGGAAUUUGAAGAGCUGGUUUUUGGGGUUUGACCUCAACAGUACCCAUCUGACAAAUGAAUACUCAAAAAGGACCCAAGAACCUAGGAUCCUAGGAUCCCCAUCCUCCACCUGAGCAAGAGAAGGGUGGAAAAAGACAACUGUUGGGGGCAGAAAUGCAACCAGGAAAAUAACACCAGGCAAGAGAUCUUAUGUCAGUGCUUUAGAACAUUCUCAUACCAGGUGAUGCCAACAAUCUAUGAGAUUUUGAGCAGGCUCCAAGAGCUCUUUUAUGAAAGGCUGAAUCCAGACAUUCACGUGGAAAAGCAGAUACUGGAGCUGCUCACACCACAAUAGUUCCUGAUUAUUUUCCAAGAGGAUGCCAGACUCCUGUGGAAACCUCACCCACCGAGUGCAGAGGGUGCUGCAAUUGUUUUAGAAGCUCUUGGGGAGAUAGUGGGGUAAGAGGCAGGAGGUUUGGGCAUGUGGAGAGUUGGGGAAUGGGGAUGCAGAAGGCUGGGACCACCAAGCUACAACAAGAUGCGCAGUCCUAGCAGUGGGAGGAGAUGCUAAGAUGGUCUCUGCCAGGCUGGACUAAAAAUACUGGUCACUGAUCUCACUCCCUCAGAGCUUACCCUACAUCUUACUGCCCUUGGAAAUGAGUGAAGAUUUGUCUUUGUCCAGGUUCCUGGCACAAAACCCUUGUAAUCUCAGCAGUGUUGAGUGUCUUUUGGAUGCUGAAGAGAUGGCUGGUGGCUGGAGGCCCUGAGGGCUGAUACCUAGAAAGACCAAGGCUUGACUAGAAGGUUGGAAGUUUCAGCCCCAUCCCCUGACCUCUACGGAGGGGAGAGGGGCUAGAGUUAGUCACGUAUAUCCAAUGAUUUGAACAAUCAUGCCUACAUAAUGAAACCUCCAUAAAAACCUGUAAACAAUGGGUUCAGGAAGCUUCAGGGUUGGUGAACACAUCCAGGUUCUGGGAGGGUGGCUCACCCUGAGAGAGCUUAGAAGUUCCAAACACACCACCCACCCUCCUGUACUUUCCCCUGUGCAUCUCUGCCACUUGGCUGUUCCUAAAUUGUAUCCAUUCAAAUCAACUGGUAAUAGUGAAUAAAGUACUUUUGUGAGUUCUGUGA